rnacentral:rRNA from 1 species
UACAGAGGUCCCAAGCGUUGUUCGGAUUCAUUGGGCGUAAAGGGUGCGUAGGUGGCGGGGUAAGUCGGAUGUGAAAUCUCGGGGCUCAACCUCGAAACUGCAUUCGAUACUGCCUUGCUAGAGUACUGGAGAGGAGAUCGGAAUUUACGGUGUAGCAGUGAAAUGCGUAGAUAUCGUAAGGAAGACCAGUGGCGAAGGCGGAUCUCUGGACAGUUACUGACACUGAGGCACGAAAGCGUGGGUAGCAAACAGG